GUUCAUCACUCUGCAGUAUUCUAGCAGAGAAUCUUCCUGAAAAUCUCUAUUCUUGUUGGAUGUCUCUCCUCAGUUUCUUAACUUCUUGGGGGGUAACCCUACAGAGAUGUCUCUAUUCGCAUUUACAGUGUGCCUCACUUUAAUGAUACCUUACCUGGCUUCCACUGACCUAUUCAGCUAGAUCCCAUGUACUGUCAGCACCAUGAAGAUAUCUCAGAGGUCUUAAAGCACUUGGAGUAGCUGAAGGGAACCAAAGAUUCACCAAGGCAGCAUACUGCACUGAAAACUGACACAGAUAAACCACUUGGCUGGGUGAAUUGGUGGCAGAAGCCAGGGCAGAGGUCAAGACAGAUCCAUCCAGAGGAGCUCCCCAAGGGCAGAAGACUCCUUCCAGAGUUUCUCAGGACGGUCAUUCCCACAGCACUCACAGAACUCACAGAACCCAAAGUUUUAACCUUGUUCCACUGCCCCUAUCUCCCAACUGGAGCACCCCAGGCAGUUCUGCCUGUGCUGGCUGAGUUAGGCUGUAGGGACAAUUCUUCUUUCCUUGUGAACUCUGAAAGUCUGCAGAAUAAGGGAUUUAUGGAGCGGAGGGUUCACAGUAAUUUCUGUUUCCACUAGAGCUAGAGAUGGUCUGACUGAGAUAAUUUCUUUAUGUCCUCAUUAUUUAUUUCACAUUUAUUCUCUUUCACAAAUAUACAUAUAUACAUAUAUAUAUAUAUAUAUGACAAGAAGGCAAUGCAUGCCAAAUGUAAUUCUGGCAAACUCUUGGGAAAGCAUCACAGUAUGACUUCAGAUCACUCCUAGCAUACAACACAACAAAGACAAAACCCCAUGAAGCACAGAAUAUCUUGGAGUUUCCAUAGACUUCAUCGCUUUGAAGUAUUAAGCCUGGGAUGAAGGGG
ensembl:lncRNA